rnacentral:rRNA from 1 species
CACUCAUUCAAAGAGUGCGUAAUAGCUCACUGGUCGAGUGAUCCUGCGCCGAAGAUUUCCGGGGCUAAAACUUACUACCGAAGCUACGGCAUCAGUAAUGAUGGGUAGGGGAGCUUCCCAUACGGGUUGAAGCAUGACCGUAAGGACAUGUGGACAGUAUGGGAGUGAGAAUGUUGGCAUGAGUAGCGAGAUGUGGGUGAGAAUCCCACAGGCCGUAAACCCAAGGUUUCCAGGGGAAGGUUCGUCC